rnacentral:tRNA from 1 species
AUCUUAGUAUUAGUAAUAAAUGACAGUGACAGAAAUGAAGUUUGAAUCUCCCAUCCUUUCCAACAAACCAACC